AGCCAUUGUAAAUAAGUUUCAACU
rnacentral:siRNA from 1 species